rnacentral:rRNA from 1 species
ACUACUUGGAUAACCGUGGUAAUUCUAGAGCUAAUACAUGCUGAAAACCCCGACCCCUGGGAGGGGUGUAUUUAUUAGAUUAAAAACCAAUGCCCUCUGGGCUCUCUGGUGAUUCAUGAUAACUCGUCGAAUCGCACGGCCUUGCGCCGGCGAUGGUUCAUUCAAAUUUCUUCCCUAUCAGCUUUCGAUGUUUGGGUAGUGGCCAAACAUGGCUGCAACGGGUAACGGAGGGUUAGGGCUCGACCCCGGAGAAGGAGCCUGAGAAACGGCUACUACAUCCAAGGAAGGCAGCAGGCGCGCAAAUUACCCAAUCCCGACACGGGGAGGUAGUGACAAUAAAUACUGAUACAGGGCUCUUUUGGGUCUUGUAAUUGGAAUGAGUACAAUUUAAAUCCCUUAACGAGGAACAAUUGGAGGGCAAGUCUGGUGCCAGCAGCCGCGGUAAUUCCAGCUCCAAUAGCGUAUAUUAAAGUUGUUGUGGUUAAAAAGCUCGUAGUUGAACCUUGGGCCUGGCUGGCCGGUCCGCCUCACCGCGUGCACUGGUCCGGCCGGGCCUUUCCCUCCGCGGAACCCCAUGCCCUUCACUGGGCGUGGCGGGGAAACGGGACUUUUACUUUGAAAAAAUUAGAGUGCUCCAGGCAGGCCUAUGCUCGAAUACAUUAGCAUGGAAUAAUGAAAUAGGACGCGCGGUUCUAUUUUGUUGGUUUCUAGGACCGCCGUAAUGAUUAAUAGGGACAGUCGGGGGCAUCAGUAUUCAAUUGUCAGAGGUGAAAUUCUUGGAUCAAUUGAAGACUAACUACUGCGAAAGCAUUUGCCAAGGAUGUUUUCAUUAAUCAGGAACGAAAGUUAGGGGAUCGA